GAUGAACGCUAGCUACAGGCUUAACACAUGCAAGGUCGAGGGGCAGCAUGAUUGAAGCUUGCUUCAAUCGAUGGCGACCGGCGCACGGGUGAGUAACACGUAUCCGAACCUGCCGAUAACUCGGGGAUAGCCUUUCGAAAGAAAGAUUAAGUACCCGAUAGCAUAGUAUUUUCCGCAAUGGUUUCACUAUUAAAGAUUUCGGUUAUCGAUGGGGAUGCGUUCCAUUAGAUAGUUGGCGGGGUAACGG
rnacentral:rRNA from 1 species